UGUGGGUCGUGAUGUAAUGUGAUGAACUCAGGCGAGCAAGAGAGAGGGGACUCCUGAUUGAGAGAAUCUGAAGCACAUCCUCUAACUCAGAAUCGGAGGUUAUUCUCAGCUCACUGUAUCCUACAUGAGACAACAGAUCGAAUCCAGUUUUUCCAGGGAUAUUGUAAGGUUACUGAACCAAAAAUUUUAUCCCUCAUCUGUUUGAAGCUAUCUCGACUAUUCAAGCAUCGUGGAUAAGGAAUCUUGGUUUUAGUGGCCAUAGUCACCAAAGAUUUCAGUUGCUGGGCAUUAGGCCUUGUCUUCCAAGGCUUACUGCAACAAGAACAAGGCCUUGUCUUAAUACAAUGAGGAAUCGAGUCCCUUUUUAGUAACUUUCCACGAGCUCCAUUUCCACCAGUAUGUAGCCUCAACUUUUGCAUUUUGGAGUUGAAUCUGGGUUUAUUGUUUGUUGAGGCAAAUGAACAAAGACAUGCAUCACACAUCUCAUUGCCAUCAACAAGCUUAUUAUGUUUGUAGCACGAAACUAAAGAUGAUAUCUCCAAUCUAUGGUUGGUACAGAAGAGAUUCCUAUAAUUAUGAGGGUUUUCUUUGCCCAAAAGAUGAUCAAGCCUGGAGCACAAAAUGCAAGGCGUUUGGAAGUUGCAACUAUGUGCAAGUUUAGUCAAAACAUAUGACAACAAAGCAUCAAUAAGCAUUAGAAAAAUGAGAAACCAUUCAUAAGCUGCAGACUUUAGAAUGGCUGCAAAGCCCUCUACACUCCUUUGAGCUUUAUAAAAUGCUUUUCCUUUUGCUGCCA